CCCUUAGAUGUCCUGGGCUGCACGCGCGCUACACUGAUGUGUCCAGUAAGCACCUAACCUCUUCCGAAGGGAACGGGUAACCUUAGCAAAGCACAUCGUGAUGGGGAUAGAUUAUUGCAAUUAUUAGUCUUGAACGAGGAAUUCCUAGUAAGCACAAGUCAUCAGCUUGUGUUGAUUACGUCCCUGCCCUUUGUACACACCGCCCGUCGCUCCUACCGAUUGAAUGUUCCGGUGAAUACUUCGGACUGCGAGGUCUGCAGUUUCUGCGUUCCUUGCGGAAAGUUGAAUAAACCUUNANAUUUAUNGGAAGGAGAANUCGUANCA
rnacentral:rRNA from 1 species